UACGUAGGUGGCAAGCGUUGUCCGGAUUUACUGGGCGUAAAGAGCGCGCAGGCGGUCGAGUAAGUCGAAUGUGAAAGCCCCCGGCUUAACUGGGGAGGGUCAUUCGAUACUGUUCGACUUGAAGGCAGGAGAGGGCAGCAGAAUUCCCGGUGUAGUGGUGAAAUGCGUAGAUAUCGGGAGGAAGACCGGUGGCGAAGGCGGUCUGCUGGGCAGUUUCUGACACUGAUGCGCGACAGCGUGGGGAGCAAACAGG
rnacentral:rRNA from 1 species